rfam:Schistosoma haematobium scaffold803_18, whole genome shotgun sequence.
GCACUGCUGAGGAGUCCUAAAAUAGGACGAAACGGCCGUCCAAUGC